CUCAUAUUUCUUGUAUUUUAUGUAUGAAUGAUUUAUUAUUAUAAUUUUCAGUCACAUACUUUAAAAUUUCUACAACAUUCUGGCUGCCUCUGAAAACAUUGCUUCGUUAUAUUUCGGUAAACCAUGAACCACAAAUAAAUAUGUCUGUUUCCAAUGUAGCGGUUUCAUUUAUUAUAAUUGAAUGAGUGAAGAUGGCGCAUAUGAGAUAAAGCUAGAACUAAAAAACGUAAA